rnacentral:misc_RNA from 1 species
AGUUCAAUUAUCGAUUUGCUAUGAUUUUUUGAACAUUGGCCGAUCUGUAAACUGUUCCGAAUAUGAGGAAUGACUGUAGAAUGUAAAGUUCGAAAAUCGCGAUCAUCUUUCUCGUUAGUCAUGUUGUUACGACCGCUUAGAUGGCCACACUGCCGAACGGUAUAGCGCCGACGGUGUAAUCGGCCGACUCCAUCUCGACUGUCAACGCGAGCGCAAAGCAAGGAGAAAAUCAAAACAACAAAGAAGGAUUCUCCAUUUCGAAGUUGAGAAAUAGUUUGUGUUCAUAAGUUAGUGAAAAUUGAGUGCAUUUGGGGUUAAAUUAACGUAAAUUAUAGCGUAUCCCAAAAGGAAACCUGUAAGUAGGAAGAAAUAACAAUAAGUUUUAAUUAAGAAAACUUUAACGGUGAAAUACUUACCAGCUGCACACGUCGACUGAAGAACAGCAACGAUUGUCGUACCGUCACAUGGUGCUACCUCGGACGGCGAUGAUUAUCUGUAAGUUUACCUGAAAAGAAGGAGAAUAAUUAAUUAACAAGUGUAAAAUAAAAACAGGAACGGAAAGGAAAGGAGAAGGAAUCGAGGAGGUUCAAGGAAGGAGGAGUAAAUCGCGAGGAGAAGACUAUUUGAGUGAGUAGGAGAAAAGAAGUUGAAUUAUGUACAGAAACUUACCUUUUCAAUAUAAUUUCAGUUUUAAAGCUGCUGGAGACAGCUGCUACAAAAAAUUUAGUUUUACUCUGGUUCAUCCGAACAAACUUUAAAAUCAAAUACUGGUUCGAUGAAUCUCAACACUCCAACCUGAACCAGACUUCAGAUCUCUGCGGUGCGUGCGAAUUUCUCACCGAAGCGGAGGAAAUUAUCACCUGCAGCAGCUGCGGAAUGAAAUACCACUCCCGCUGCGUGGACAACACGGCGGCGGAUACGGAGUGGUACUGCCCAGAAGGUUGUCGGAACAAUCUCGACGAUUCAGCCGAACAAGCUCGCGAACAACCAGAUGCGGCGACCGACACGGAUUGUCCGGCGGUUGGGCAAGCGGAAGAAUUCGAUGCGGAACGUUGGAUCCGGGAGAAGCAGGAGGAGAUCGAGAUGGAGCUGGCGGAAAGGCAAGCGCAGAUCGAUCGCGAGCUGCGGGAGAAGGAAGAAAAGAUGGCCGAAGCAAUCCGGAAAGUAAUGCGGCGGCAAGAAGCCAACUUGGAGCUCGAGCGGAAGAAAAAGGCGGACCACGAGAGGCGAAUGGCAGAUUUGCAGAGUUCGUUUCAAAGAAGGUCUUCACUCAUCAACGAGCAGCUGGAGCUCACCAAGUAUGGUUUCGAGAAGAUCCUGCAAUGUCCUCAAAUCGUCAACUCGACGAGUGAGGAAGAGGCAGAAGACGAGAAGAAGAUCGAGCGCGAAGAAAGCUCGAAUGAAGACCGCGAUGGAAGUGCGAAAAGUCGCGUGGAAGACACCGGCGAGAACGGUACGAAGCUGAACAAGCAAGACGUCAGUGGAACUCUUUACGGGCUGGGGCAGCAAGGUUCCGGACUUGAGAAGGCACGACUGGCCGCGGGCGGGGGGCGUACAAGACAGUCUCCUUGCUACCCGAACGACCCAGAAUGGUUGCCAAAGUCCUACGGAACGCAACAAAAACCCUCGGAAUCCUGUGGAGUUGUGGACGGAGCAGAUCUUGGAAAGCUUCAAAGCUGGCUUAAAGGUGCGGCGCUAGACACUGGACAUCGUACGCUUCGCUUUUCCCGACGACUACUGGUGGAUCGUCCGGAACUGCUGCAACGAAGCCACGCGGAGAGUUCGCGCGGUAUUGAGCAUCCGGAAGCGGAAAAGUUUGCAACACUCACAACGCUCAAAAGUGCAGCGAAUCAACUGUACGAGCGUACGAAAGCGACGGAUAUCACGCUGGUGUAUCCGCUCGCAAUUGAAGACCCAGCUAGCGUACUUCCGAUUGUGGAGGAACGGCUCUGGGCAACGAAGAAGGCGGAAAUAAAGAUCUUUUCGUCGAAAAACAACUCGGACAUGAUAGCCGAGACAAGCAGAAGAAGACAGACAGAGGACGCGGACCUCUGCUGUCAGGAAGAGGACAGCUCCAGCCUGACCAGGGCCAACCAAAUGCAACCAAGAGUGCGCCACGAUCGCCAGUUGCGGUUCUGUGGGGGAAUGGAGGAGAUGUUCGACGACGAGCGUACGAAGAUCGUCGCAAGCUGGAAUCGCGGCGAUAACCAGAGGUUGGAGAAACGCGGCCAAAGCAAUACAUGCUGGGAGCUUUACAACCAGGUGGUUCUUCCAAUCCACGAAAGGAACACCGUCGCGCUGAUUGUUGGCGCACAGGUUGUUCGACUGGAUCUCGGAGACGUACCGGGAAAACUCGCUAGACAGCGGUCGGCUGAGGCGAGUCACGUGUGCCCACGAUUCACGCGGAUGAAUGAGUGGGUCUCUGCGGCGCAGGUUUGCAGCGGUUUGGUGGCUGACGAUGGUCAGCUGCAAGAACUCAUCGGAAAGCUGCGAUUGAUGCUGCCGGCACUAAUAGCUCUAGGGAACCACCAACACAACGCGGCGCCGAAAGAUCCGGACAAACCGAAGAAGAAAAGCGCAAUGCAAGAAUCGGUGGAAUAUGUUCAGCAAGAUCCGACGGUAACCGACGCAAAAAGGUCGCACGCGAAGUCUAUCGCUGGCUGCACGGUUAAAAAUGGGUUCAUCGAGACAAUGGUAAGCGGAUCAGCGCACGAAAACGAACCGGUUGAGGCGCUUAAAGAGGUCGAUCGAGUCCACACGAGAAUGAAGGCGGCUAACUCGACCAACACGAAGCCGGUUCAGCAACGAAAUCUCCGGUCAGCAGUACUCGAUUUGAAGACGCAAGCAGAGGACGGCGAUUUCCUGAAGCAGCAGUGGCUGAGUCGACGUGAGCUGGCUGACGAAGCAAAGAACCAUGUUCCGAAGAGCGGUGGUCACGACGAGGAUGGAAACAAGCUGCACCACAGCAACAGCAUACCACUACGGCACCCCGGCGUCAGUCUCUUGGCAAUGACGAGCUGCAAGGCGCAUGACGGCGUUGACGACAACGAAGGCGGCCAAAAACUACACAGAAACGCAGCAAAUAUAUCCGGCUCGGUGCCCUUUUCAACGGCGAAAACGCACGAGCAACUGGACAGCGCUGCAAGAGAGUGUGUAGGAACCGGAGGGGAUGCAGAUUUGGCGUUUGCAAUCGACAUGACUGCGGUAAACUGGAUCGUCGAAGAGAACCUGCCUGGGCUGGACGGCGCGCAGAGGCUGACGGACGGAAUCAGCAGGACGACGAACUCGAGUGUCGGCAAAGGCAAAGGUGUCCCCGCGCAAUGGCACCAGACGGAGGAGGCUGACCAGUCGGAGCAGAAGAGCAGAGUAAACACAGCGGUACCAAAGGAUCUUGGUAAAUCCUACGAACCGGAUGGUCCGACGGAUGUUACGGGCUGGGGUGUUACGACCGCUUAGAUGGCCACACUGCCGAACGGUAUAGCGCCGACGGUGUAAUCGGCCGACUCCAUCUCGACUGUCAACGCGAGCGCAAAGCAAGGAGAAAAUCAAAACAACAAAGAAGGAUUCUCCAUUUCGAAGUUGAGAAAUAGUUUGUGUUCAUAAGUUAGUGAAAAUUGAGUGCAUUUGGGGUUAAAUUAACGUAAAUUAUAGCGUAUCCCAAAAGGAAACCUCUGCACACGUCGACUGAAGAACAGCAACGAUUGUCGUACCGUCACAUGGUGCUACCUCGGACGGCGAUGAUUAUCUGAACGGAAAGGAAAGGAGAAGGAAUCGAGGAGGUUCAAGGAAGGAGGAGUAAAUCGCGAGGAGAAGACUAUUUGAGUGAGUAGGAGAAAAGAAGUUGAAUUAUGUACAGAAACUUACCUUUUCAAUAUAAUUCCAGUUUUAAUGCUGCUGGAGACAGCUGCUACAAAAAAUUUAGUUUUACUCUGGUUCAUCCGAACACAUGUUUUUGAUACACGUCAUAGUCGGGUUUCAUUGCUCUAUGAUAUGCAAUUGUUUAAUGGUACGAUUCGUUCUAAUUUGCGUUAGCAAAAUAUAAAUUAUAUUCGAUCAUUUGUUUCCCGCGAAAUUAUCUUUUACCAUUUUAGCUCGUACAGCACGGUGACAAAUCUUGUUUCAACGCGAUUGUUCAAGCCCUUCAGAUAACAUCAUAACUUAUCAGUCAUCAGUAAUCAGUAAUUGGUCGUUCAUCUUAUAAAAAUUCAAAAGUAUAAAUAGUCUAAGGUCAACUCUACGUAAAUAUGUUACGCUGAGUAUAAUAUUUCUCCUUUUAAUUACACAUAACUUUGAUUCUAUCUUUCCG